GGCUCGGUGGUGGAUGGUCCACACCUGCUUUCCAUAGGCGACGAGUGACAUGAGAUUGAGUCAGCAGAAGGAGUCUGUUCGAAUCAGGCCCGAGCCA